rnacentral:rRNA from 1 species
AUUGAACGCUGGCGGAAUGCUUUACACAUGCAAGUCGAACGGCAGCACGGGGGCAGCCCUGGUGGCGAGUGGCGAACGGGUGAGUAAUACAUCGGAACGUGCCCGGUCGUGGGGGAUAACGUAGCGAAAGUUACGCUAAUACCGCAUACGAUCUGAGGAUGAAAGCGGGGGACCUUCGGGCCUCGCGCGAUCGGAGCGGCCGAUGUCAGAUUAGGUAGUUGGUGGGGUAAAGGCCUACCAAGCCGACGAUCUGUAGCUGGUCUGAGAGGACGACCAGCCACACUGGGACUGAGACACGGCCCAGACUCCUACGGGAGGCAGCAGUGGGGAAUUUUGGACAAUGGGCGCAAGCCUGAUCCAGCCAUUCCGCGUGCAGGACGAAGGCCUUCGGGUUGUAAACUGCUUUUGUACGGAACGAAAAGGCUCUGGCUAAUACCUGGGGCUCAUGACGGUACCGUAAGAAUAAGCACCGGCUAACCACGUG